rnacentral:rRNA from 2 species
AACUUUCAACAACGGAUCUCUUGGUUCUGGCAUCGAUGAAGAACGCAGCAAAAUGCGAUAAGUAAUGUGAAUUGCAGAAUUCAGUGAAUCAUCGAAUCUUUGAACGCACAUUGCGCCCGCCAGUAUUCUGGCGGGCAUGCCUGUUCGAGCGUCAUCU